rnacentral:rRNA from 1 species
GACGAACGCUGGCGGCGUGCUUAACACAUGCAAGUCGAACGGUGAUGCUCCAGCUUGCUGGCGUGGAUCAGUGGCGAACGGGUGAGUAACACGUGAGCAACCUGCCCCAGACUCUGGAAUAAGCGCUGGAAACGGCGUCUAAUACUGGAUACGAAACUGGCCCGCAUGGGCAUGGUUUGGAAAGUUUUUCGGUUUGGGAUGGGCUCGCGGCCUAUCAGCUUGUUGGUGAGGUAAUGGCUCACCAAGGCGACGACGGGUAGCCGGCCUGAGAGGGCGACCGGCCACACUGGGACUGAGACACGGCCCAGACUCCUACGGGAGGCAGCAGUGGGGAAUAUUGCACAAUGGGCGAAAGCCUGAUGCAGCGACGCCGCGUGAGGGGUGACGGCCUUCGGGUUGUAAACCUCUUUCAGCAGGGAAGAAGCGAAAGUGACGGUACCUGCAGAAGAAGCACCGGCUAACUACGUG